rnacentral:rRNA from 1 species
AGUAACACGUGAGUAACCUGCCCUUGACUCUGGGAUAAGCCUGGGAAACUGGGUCUAAUACCGGAUACGACCGCUCCACGCAUGUGGUGGUGGUGGAAAGCUUUUGCGGUUUUGGAUGGACUCGCGGCCUAUCAGCUUGUUGGUGGGGUAAUGGCCUACCAAGGCGACGACGGGUAGCCGGCCUGAGAGGGUGACCGGCCACACUGGGACUGAGACACGGCCCAGACUCCUACGGGAGGCAGCAGUGGGGAAUAUUGCACAAUGGGCGGAAGCCUGAUGCAGCGACGCCGCGUGAGGGAUGACGGCCUUCGGGUUGUAAACCUCUUUCAGUAGGGAAGAAGCGUAAGUGACGGUACCUGCAGAAGAAGCGCCGGCUAACUACGUGCCAGCAGCCGCGGUAAUACGUAGGGCGCAAGCGUUAUCCGGAAUUAUUGGGCGUAAAGAGCUCGUAGGCGGUUUGUCGCGUCUGCUGUGAAAGACCGGGGCUCAACUCCGGUUCUGCAGUGGGUACGGGCAGACUAGAGUGAUGUAGGGGAGACUGGAAUUCCUGGUGUAGCGGUGAAAUGCGCAGAUAUCAGGAGGAACACCGAUGGCGAAGGCAGGUCUCUGGGCAUUAACUGACGCUGAGGAGCGAAAGCAUGGGGAGCGAACAGGAUUAGAUACCCUGGUAGUCCAUGCCGUAAACGUUGGGCACUAGGUGUGGGGGACAUUCCACGUUUUCCGCGCCGUAGCUAACGCAUUAAGUGCCCCGCCUGGGGAGUACGGCCGCAAGGCUAAAACUCAAAGGAAUUGACGGGGGC